rnacentral:rRNA from 1 species
CCCUUAGAUGUUCUGGGCCGCACGCGCGCUACACUGACGAAGUCAGCGAGCAUGUCCUACGCCGACAGGUGCGGGGAAUCUUGUCAAACUUCGUCGUGAUGGGGAUUGAUUUUUGAAAUUCUUGAUCAUAAACGAGGAAUUCCUAGUAAGCGCAAGUCAGCAGCUUGCGUUGAUUACGUCCCUGCCCUUUGUACACACCGCCCGUCGCUACUACCGAUUGAAUGGUUUAGUGAGACCCUCGGAUUCGUCCCAGCACAGUGGGUUUCUGCUGAGCUGGUGCGCGGAGAAGACGGUCGAACUUGAUCAUUUAGAGGAAGUAAAAGUCGUAACA